rnacentral:rRNA from 1 species
AGACCACCAGCUAAGGUCCCAAAAUAUAUGUUAAGUGGAAAAGGAUGUGGCGUUGCCCAGACAACUAGGAUGUUGGCUUAGAAGCAGCCAUCAUUUAAAGAGUGCGUAAUAGCUCACUAGUCGAGUGACACUGCGCCGAAAAUGUACCGGGGCUAAACAUAUUACCGAAGCUGUGGAUUGUCCUUUGGACAAUGGUAGGAGAGCGUUCUAAGGGCGUUGAAGCAUGAUCGUAAGGACAUGUGGAGCGCUUAGAAGUGAGAAUGCCGGUGUGAGUAGCGAAAGACGGGUGAGAAUCCCGUCCACCGAUUGACUAAGGUUUCCAGAGGAAGGCUCGUCCGCUCUGGGUUAGUCGGGUCCUAAGCUGAGGCCGACAGGCGUAGGCGAUGGAUAACAGGUUGAUAUUCCUGUACCACCUAUAAUCGUUUUAAUCGAUGGGGGGACGCAGUAGGAUAGGCGAAGCGUGCGAUUGGAUUGCACGUCUAAGCAGUAAGGCUGAGUAUUAGGCAAAUCCGGUACUCGUUAAGGCUGAGCUGUGAUGGGGAGAAGACAUUGUGUCUUCGAGUCGUUGAUUUCACACUGCCGAGAAAAGCCUCUAGAUAGAAAAUAGGUGCCCGUACCGCAAACCGACACAGGUAGUCAAGAUGAGAAUUCUAAGGUGAGCGAGCGAACUCUCGUUAAGGAACUCGGCAAAAUGACCCCGUAACUUCGGGAGAAGGGGUGCUCUUUAGGGUUAACGCCCAGAAGAGCCGCAGUGAAUAGGCCCAAGCGACUGUUUAUCAAAAACACAGGUCUCUGCUAAACCGUAAGGUGAUGUAUAGGGGCUGACGCCUGCCCGGUGCUGGAAG